rnacentral:rRNA from 1 species
CCUACGGGAGGCAGCAGUGGGGAAUAUUGGACAAUGGGGGGAACCCUGAUCCAGCGACGCCGCGUGAGUGAAGAAGUAUUUCGGUAUGUAAAGCUCUAUCAGCAGGGAAGAAAGAAAUGACGGUACCUGACUAAGAAGCCCCGGCUAACUACGUGCCAGCAGCCGCGGUAAUACGUAGGGGGCAAGCGUUAUCCGGCUUUACUGGGUGUAAAGGGAGCGUAGACGGCGAUGCAAGUCUGAAGUGAAAGGCGGGGGCCCAACCCCCGGACUGCUUUGGAAACUGUAUGGCUGGAGUGCAGGAGAGGUAAGUGGAAUUCCUAGUGUAGCGGUGAAAUGCAUAGAUAUUAGGAGGAACACCAGUGGCGAAGGCGGCUUACUGGACUGUAACUGACGUUGAGGCUCGAAAGCGUGGGGAGCAAACAGGAUUAGAUACCCUAGUAGUC